CCAUUAAGAAGCUAUGCAACAGCACUAGCCUUUUAAGCUAGAGAAAGAGGAUCUACACCUCNUUAAUGAA
rnacentral:tRNA from 1 species